rnacentral:rRNA from 1 species
UACAGAGGGGGCAAGCGUUGUUCGGAAUUACUGGGCGUAAAGGGCGCGUAGGCGGCCGUCUAAGUCAGACGUGAAAUCCCCGGGCUCAACCCGGGAACUGCGUCUGAUACUGGACGGCUCGAAUCCGGGAGAGGGAUGUGGAAUUCCAGGUGUAGCGGUGAAAUGCGUAGAUAUCUGGAGGAACACCGGUGGCGAAGGCGGCAUCCUGGACCGGUAUUGACGCUGAGGCGCGAAAGCCAGGGGAGCAAACGGGAUUAGAAACCCCCGUAGUCC